AGAGUUUGAUCAUGGCUCAGGAUGAACGCUGGCGGCGUGCUUAACACAUGCAAGUCGAACGAUGAUCCCCAGCUUGCUGGGGGGGAUUAGUGGCGAACGGGUGAGUAACACGUGAGUAACCUGCCCUUGACUCUGGGAUAAGCCUGGGAAACUGGGUCUAAUACCGGAUAUGACUCCUCAUCGCAUGGUGGGGGGUGGAAAGCUUUUGUGGUUUUGGAUGGACUCGCGGCCUAUCAGCUUGUUGGUGAGGUAAUGGCUCACCAAGGCGACGACGGGUAGCCGGCCUGAGAGGGUGACCGGCCACACUGGGACUGAGACACGGCCCAGACUCCUACGGGAGGCAGCAGUGGGGAAUAUUGCACAAUGGGCGAAAGCCUGAUGCAGCGACGCCGCGUGAGGGAUGACGGCCUUCGGGUUGUAAACCUCUUUCAGUAGGGAAGAAGCGAAAGUGACGGUACCUGCAGAAGAAGCGCCGGCUAACUACGUGCCAGCAGCCGCGGUAAUACGUAGGGCGCAAGCGUUAUCCGGAAUUAUUGGGCGUAAAGAGCUCGUAGGCGGUUUGUCGCGUCUGCCGUGAAAGUCCGGGGCUCAACUCCGGAUCUGCGGUGGGUACGGGCAGGCUAGAGUGAUGUAGGGGAGACUGGAAUUCCUGGUGUAGCGGUGAAAUGCGCAGAUAUCAGGAGGAACACCGAUGGCGAAGGCAGGUCUCUGGGCAUUAACUGACGCUG
rnacentral:rRNA from 1 species